rnacentral:tRNA from 1 species
AAUGUGGAGCCUGAUUAAAGGAUUAUUGUGAUAGAAUAAAAUAUGUAAAAUAUAUUCUUACCCACAUUA